ensembl:lncRNA
UUUUUAUUUUUUUUUUGUAAAUACAGAUUUCUCUUAAGAAAAUAAGCAAAUAUUUUAUACCCAUCAUUAUUUUAUCCAUUUAUUUUUAAAGAGUACUUACAACAUGCAAGGCACUUACUAGUUCUAAUCUUUUACCAACUGCAUUCUAAUACCACACACUUCAUUCUCUUAUCAUUUCUGAAAUUGUACUUCUAACUGGACUCAAAAAAUAUAGGAUGGUUACUAGGCCUGUUCUGUGUCCCUACAGGUUCUCACAGGACCCGAGAUUUUACAAUAAGAUCAUGUUAGAUAACCUGCUUUGGCCUGCAACUAUUCCAGAGCUUCUGACACAGGAUUUCAUUGAAGAAAGUUUGACCUGCAAGGGCCUUCACAGGUUGCUUGGUCCAUAUUCCUCAUUAGACAGAUGAAGACACUAAGAUGCAGAGAGGGAGAUGAACUGAAUUAGAAUAUCAGACAUCUGCCUAAACUUGCCAUUCUUUCAUAGUCUAGCACCAACCUUGAGAGAAUGGGUAGAUCUCAGGCCUCAGGUAGGUCUGCAUUAUGACUUUUAUAGGCCCCAGACACACAGUCUUUGUAGACCGUCCUCCAAAAAAAAAAAAAAAAAAAAAAAAAAAAAGAAAAAUUAUACUUUAUGGCUGUUUGGGUAUGAAGACAAACAUACUAAUGUCAUUUGUUAAAAUAUUUUGUUCAUCUUCUCUUAAUUUUAAAAGACAUUAAAACAUUUUCAUGGGCCCCUAAAAGUACUGUGGGCCCUGGGCACUAAUGGAGAAGAUGGCCUUGUUUUUAGAUAACCCAUUUGAUAGUUGAAACCAGCUUCAUUCUCCCCCAGGAGACCUGGUUCUGCCACAGGAGACUAGCAUGCGGCUUCUCUAUAACUCCGGAUGUACUGGCCAUAGAAAGCUCAGCCUUUUAUCAGCUAUUCCAGUCAUUCUCAUUCUAGCAGCUCUGCAGAACUUCCUUCCUCAUUCUAAACCAAGCAAUCGCCUACAAAACUAUUCUGGGAGAGUCGGGAGUACUCAAUAGAGAUCAGCUGCCAAGCCUCUAGGACUGAAAACAAGCUCCAGAGUUCCAAAUGCAUUUCAAAGGAAUAUGAGGCAGAUCACUUCGUUGGGAUUUAUUGUCUUUUAUAAUAGGGCUUGUUAUCAACUACAGAGACAUCCUUACUCUAAGAACAGGUACGAGGAUUUUCUGGACUAGAUAUGAUUUUCUUUCCUGUAUAUUCACUAUACGAAAAGGCUGUAUAAUUCAUAAAAUGAAUGAAGUUGUAACACUAUUUUAACCAGGAAAAAUCAAACUAUCAAAUCUCUCAAAAUUUACCCACUUUAAGAAAACUGCCAUUUAAAAAUGAAAUUUAUCAUUCCCUUGCACCACUCGAUUGGUUUUAUUUUAGGGUCCCCAGAUACAAGGCUCAAUUCAAGUCCUACCUCCUCAGCAACUCAACACUGAUCACUUCUCUCAUGAUUAGAGAUAUCUGACUCCUGGCUACUUUUAUCACAUUUGUUAUUUUUAUUUAGCUGUUCCUGAUCUUUAACUCAACAUAUAUUAUUUUGUGCGUACUAUAUGUCAGGUAUGACAUGGUGUAUACAAAAAUCAGUAAAAUAAGAUACUAGUCUCAAGGAGCAUAUUUCAAGUAAGAGGGAGAAUAACAUAAAAUAUAUUAAUAUUUAAAAUAGGGCAAACAUAAGUGCCACUAUAUGCGUAAAGGAAGCAUCUGGCAAGACAUCAUACAGGUGAUAGCAUUUGAGAUAAGUAUUAAUGAGGAAAGACUACUCAGAAUUGGAAAGAAGGUGGAAGAGAAACAGCACAGCAAAGACACAGAAAUAGCAAAGUCAAAUAUAUUUACAAAACAGCAAGAAGUGUAACUAGGUUUACAACAUGCAGUACUACUAUUAAGAAGUGAAAAGCAAAAUUAGGGGCAAAACAUAAACAUCUAAAAGGAACACUUACACCUGGGACCUUAUUUUGUAUUUUGUUUGUAUUCUUAUAGCCUGGUCCAGUGUUGGCCACUUAAAAUAUCUGGUAAUUGAUUUAAACUGCCAGAAAAAGCACCAACAAUAGUCAUAACAAUAAGGCAGUUGCCCAAAAGCAUCUAAUAACUACAGUAAAUACACAAUGACAUAAGGUACUUGAAAAAAAAUUCAGUAUAAAAUAACUGUAAUUAACAAAGAAUAGAUUUGUGGGAAAUCAUUCUAACCAUUCUUAUAAGUUUGAUAGUUUGAAAUAUUCUAAUAGACCUCACUAAUUUCAUGACAUACCACUGAAGCUCAGCAAUAAAAUAUGUGAAAAACUAAAUAUGUGUUUCAGGAGUUCCCGUCGUGGCGCAGUGGUUAAUGAAUCUGACUAGGAACCAUGAGGUUGCGGGUUCGGUCCCUGCCCUUGCUCAGUGGGUUAACGAUCUGGCGUCGCCGUGAGCUGUGGUGUAGGUUGCAGACACGGCUCGGAUCCCGCGUUGCUGUGGCUCUGGUGUAGGCGGGUGGCUACAGCUCCGAUUUGACCCCUAGCCUGGGAACCUCCAUAUGCCGCAGGAGCGGCCCAAGAAAUAGCAAAAAAAAAAAAAGACAAAAAGAAAAAAAUAAUAAAAAAAUAAAUAUGUGAGUUUCAAUUAAAAAAAGAAUAUCUAGUGGUUUAGCCAACUCAGACCUCUUUUCAUCAAUUUAAUAAAGGAAAACUGUAAAGGCUUCCUAAGCAAAGGGGGAUAGUUAAAACUACAAGGUUUUACUGAGAACAAUCUGCAACUGCAUAACUGAGUAUAAGGAAUUAAAGACGGUGUCUUCAGUUUGAGAAACUGCCCAAAUUAAACUAAAAUUCAGAAUUUUCUUGCAAUAAAAACGUUUUCAGAGUAUAAUUUAUUUUCAGAUGUGGGUAAAAUAUUGUAAUUAAAAUAUACAAAUAGGAGGAUUAAGAUGGCAGACUACCCAAGGCAAUCUACAGAUCCAAUGCAAUCCCUAUCAAAUUACCAAGAACAUUUGUCAGAACUAGAACAUGGGGUUGUGGGAGGUAGCCCAGAGGUACCCUUGGGGAACUUUGCAGAAGGACGAAGGCCGGCUAAGUGGACCCCAGGAAGUGACCUCACUUCCCUGGCAAUAGAGCCCAACAGAACUUGGAACCUGGGUAGUCAGGCACCCACUUCUCCAGGAGAGGACAGAGGAGGGAUGGACUUGCUUUGCUGUGUCCCGUUCUCCCAAGGCUGAGGCCGCAGCAGAGACAAUACCUGCCAAUCCAGCAGAAAAUGGAUCAGAACUCAGGGCAGACGCCUAUGGGCCUUUGCCUGCAGAGACCUGGAGGUAACACAGGGAGAGGGAACUCCAGCCCAGCAAAGGGACCCUUCUGAUCCCACACAGUAGCCUCAGUAGCCUCGUGUCUCCUCCCUGGAUGACUGUGUGCAGAGGGGGGUUGUGAGGGUGGGUCUGCCUCAAGCAAGAGCAGGCUGACGUGGGGUUGGAUGCCAAUUGGGAGGGUCACGUCCACACCCCAGGACAAAGCUGACUGGGGAGAAGGGGGUUGUUUAGAGUCAGGGCUGAGCCCUGUGUGCGAGCUGUACCCCCAGCCCUCUAGGGGGCUCCCACUCCUCCCAGAGGGUGGGUAUCUGAGCAGACAAGGUUUCACCUUAUCUGGGAACAGAAGUUCAAGGGGGCAGAAGAAGCAGCGAGAAGAUAAUGGCCUUGCAACGCUCUGACACCUCAGGGCCGGGCCCUCUGCCGCUCAUUCUCAUUGCAGAGUCCCCCCCCCCCCCCCCCCACCCCUGCCCCUGAGACCCUUCAGGAGCCAGGCAAGGAAGGCAGAAGACCUCCAGAUGAAACUCCACAUGGGCAACUCCUUGGGUAUCUCUGCCAGGCUCGGGGGAGCUCAGCACAUCCGGUUCUGGCACUAGGACAAAGUCCACCUACGCCUGAGUCCGCUGGACAGCUGUGCUCCCUGAGGCCCAGCCUGAAGGUGAGAAGAUGGGGACCGGGCCUUGUGAGUGUGGGGGGAGCUGAGUUCUGGGUCACACAGCGAGGAGUUCCCAAAGGAAGGUGUUGGGCCAGGAGCAAAGACUAACCCACACUACCCACCUGGUGGACUGCAGACCCAGAAGUUGGUGGGUUGGGACUGGUCUGGAAGGUUCUGGAAAGACUGCUAUCCUUGGAAUAGCACAUGGCAAGGCAAGCAUGCAAGGAAGCUUUUCUUCUCUCACAGUUCCAGCAUGAGAGCAGGAGCCAAAGGCCAAGGCACAACCCAAGCAGGGAGAACCUGGAGCUGCUCCAGCAGGAGGCCUAGGUCCACGUGAGGACUCAUCAGCCCUGUAGGGAGAAACCUGCAGCUGCUCCUGCAGGAAACCUGGAGCCACAUGAGGACUCACCACCCACACAAGGAGAACCUGCAGCUGCUCUGGCAGCAGCCCCAGACACUGAUGUGUGUUUACCUCAGCUGGAGGGAAAUGUUGCACCAGCUUCUGCAGGAGACCAAGGGCCCAAGAAGAAUUCAGCAGCCCUGCAGGGAGAGCCUGCACUGACUGCUCCAGCCCCCACUAUACUAGGUCCUGCACUGGCUCUGGAAAGAGCCCGGGGCCAAUUUCCAAAACCACCUUCCUCAAGGUCACCUCCACCCUUGCAAGUGCCCUCCCCAUCAGCUCCCUAAAAACCCAUCCACCUGUUUCCCCUCCCAAAAUUUACUCUCGUGAUUUGUCUUCGGAUGUUUUCUCAUUUCCUGUUUCUCUUCCAUUAUUAUUUACGGUAUACUUUAUGUUUUAAAAAUAAAAUUAGAAAGCUGGAAAAAAAUACACAAAUAGGUUGAAAAUUCCAGAAAUAAAUGGAAGUCAAAGAUUUGAGCAAGAAUUACUAUACAAGAAAAAUUAUAAUGCAUGUAGGUACAGUGUAAUGGCUGUUCGAUUAACAGUAUGUUUUAAAAGUUAAAUUUUUAAAAGAACAACUGUUACACUCAUUUUCUCUGACUGCUAAUCUAUUCACUAAAGCCUUAAUGAUUAGUAUCUUCUACAUCUGUGUAUAAAUUCAUUUUUCUUACUAGCACCUCUAUUUAAAAAGAUAUACUGUGAAAUUUGACAAAAAGAAAUAUUUGCCCUAAGACUAGCAUUAUAACUCAAAACUACUGUAAAUGUUUCUUCAAGAGUGGCCCACAGUCCACAUGAAUCAUAUCUUAUCUGUUAUGAUUGAAAUGCAGAUAUUAACUCCAACAAUUCUUGGAUCUUAUCAAGAUACAAAAUCAGUAUUCGUAAUCAGUAUUUUCACUUCCCUCUUUACUCAGAUACAUUCCACUUUUUUCCACUUUGCAAAUACUCUCUUGUCCCUCCUUCCCUCUACUAGUAAAAUGCUUGCUCUAAGCCUACUUCUGACCAGAUGAACAUAACCAGAGAAAAGCCACACAACUGUGCUGACCAAUAUUCACUUAAAACCUAUUACUCUAGGUCUCAAAUGGGGAUUUAACAUUGUCAGAAACAGAAUCCAAAUCAGUUCUUUCUACAUACUUACUUUGCCACUUUGAGAUAACUAUUUCACAGUUUUUCUUCUCUCUUCAAAUCUCUGACAUCCUUGUCCCAGGUCACUUACUAUUGAUGGCCUUGCCUCAAACUUAAGUGGGAAAAUAGAUCCAAAAAGAUGAAUUUUAUCUCCUCUUCAUGUUAAUGCUACAACCUGAUUUUAUACACUUUACCUCAUUGCCCUUAGAAUGGAAGGAGCCUUUGUGUCUUUGUUUAAGGCCAACCUUUCUACUUCUGGUCAGAAUUUCACCCACGUGUGAAUUCUCAAGAACUAUUCCUGCAAUAUCACUUUUCUCUUCUGCAUCAUCUAUUUUUCCAUUCCAGAUAAUUCCCAUUGGCAUAUGAAUGUGUCUUAAUCUCAUUCAUUAAAAAACAAAAACAAAACAACCCUCCUGUAGUCCUGUAUCCCUCUAGAUAGUGCUGCAUUCUUCGAUUUCCUUCUAGAACAAAACUCUUCAAAAAGACACUUUAUCUCCACAUUUUCUCUUCCCCCCACUCCAUUCAGAUGUUUUGUUCUCACCACUUUAUUGAAAUACUGCGAAUUAAGGUUUCAAAGUACUAUACUCCCCCAAGACCAAGGGCUAAUUUUCUAUUCUCACCUUUUCAAAACUUAAAUUAGCAUUUCAUACAUUGGCCACCCCUCUCAUGGAAUACUUUCUUUUCUAGUUUCUGGAAUACUUCACUCUUCAGAUUUUUCUACCUCAUUAGAUAGCUGCUUCUCAGCCUGUUUGUUGGCUUUUUCCUCUAUUAGAUUUCUCAGUGUUGGAGUGACCAAAAAUAAUACCCCUUACCAUCAGCUCCCCUUAUUCAUUCUUUUCCCCUGAGUGAUUUUAUCCAGUUCCAAGGCUUUGACUACCAUCUAAUUUAUAUGCUAUUACUCUCCAAAUUUAUCUCCAGUCCACAUCUCUCCUUUUGAACUCCAGUCUUCUUUACACUCCUUGACACAUCCACUGGGAUAUCUAGGAGGCAUCUCACACUUAACAAAGCCAAGGUGAAACUACUGGCAUUCAACCGCUACACUUACCAAGUUCUCCCAUCUCAGGAAAUGGUCCACAGAUCAGCCCACUUGCUCAAUCAAAAACCAGCAGCCCCUAGAGUUCCCACUGUGGCAUAGCAGGUUAAGAAUCUGGCACUGUCUCUGCAGUAGCUCAGGUCCCUGUUGAUGGGUGGCUCUGAUGCCCAGCCUUGCACAGGUGUUAAGGAUCAGGCAUUGCCACACCUGUGGCUUAGGUCGAGACGUCCAUGGCUCAGAUUCGAUACCUGGCCCAGGAGUUUCCAUAUGCCGUGGGUGCAGCCGAAAAAGGAAAAAAAAAAACCCAAAAAGCAAACUAGCAGUCUUUUUUUUUCCUUUCUCACUCUCCCCUCUCCCUCCUCUAAAUUCAAUUCAUCUACUAGCUCUACUGCUAUAACAUAUCUCGAAUCUGACAAGGGUACGCUGAGCAUUGAGUCCCUUUCACAUAUCUGAUGACAGGCAUGGUUUCUUCCCAGCCUUCUCCUUAUCAAACCCGUUUACCAGCCUAAUUUAAAGUCCUUGUUUUCUCAUUUAAACAAUUGCCUCAGCCAUCUAGCUAGUCUUCCUGCCUCAAAUUUCUUCCCCUUCUAAGCCACUCCACCUGUUAUUAAAAACUGGUGGAUCCUCAAUGUUCACAGAACAAAGCCUAAUUUCCUUGUUAGGAUCUCAAAACUCUUCAUGAUUUUAACUCAUGUUUUCAGUUGCAUCUCUCAGUGCAUUCCCUUCAGCUAGCAUCUGACAAGUAAGACUAACCAUGCCCCAGACAAGACAUGUAUUGACCUACCUCUAAGUUUUGGCUCAUGCUAUUCCUUCAUCCCAGGAAAAAUCAUGGGGUAGAAAGAACACUGCACUGGCACUAGGAGACUCAGCUACAAGCUCCAAACCUGCCAUGUGUUCUGAGUUUAAUUCUUCAUGGGUAAAAUAAGGACAAAGUACCAGGCUCAGGAUUAAGUAAGAAUGCAUUUCAGAGUUCUUUAUGAAUUCUAAAGGGUACACAAAAUGCUGCCAGAUUCUUCUAGAUAAGGACUCUACAUUUUACAACCACACAGUUACUAAGAGAAUAUCCAUUUCUCUACAUACUUGCUACAGCUGGAUAUAUCAAUUUAAACAAUUUCUGCCAAUCCAGUAGAUUAAAAUAAUUUUAUUAUCUUUAAAAUUUGAAUUUCCCUGACUCUAAAACUGAACAUCUUUCCCAAUGUUUACUGGCUAUUUUCUUUGAAUUUCCUGCUCAUAAUUCCCUUUACCAUUCUCCUAUCUCCUCCUCCC